rnacentral:lncRNA from 1 species
AGCUCAGGAAGCUGCUUUUCAAUGACCUGAAGUACAUCUGGCCAAAGUUAGCUUGUAUUCUCCUUGGCAAGGCCUUAUCUCCAAAUACAAUCACAAUGAGGGUUAUGACUUCAAUACAUGAAUUUAGGGUGGACACAAUUCAGUCCAUAACAAUUGCUACUCUAAGAAUUCUCAGAGAAGCAAGAUAUAUCCUGAGGAGGAUCAGGAGAGAGGGAAGAAGGCCAGCAGCACAGCCAUCAUGCCUGCCAGCCCCGUAUCCUGCCUGAACAGGAAGAGGACCACCUGUAGCUCCUCUGCAAACAGCAGCCUCACUACCAGCCCAAAUCAGAGCAGGAAUUCCCCACCUUAGGAGACAGUCAGCCUUGGCUGGGCCUCCAUUCAGAAGGGCAAUGACAACCUAACCAUGUCAGGGUCCAGGACCUCCAGGGCUUCUGCUUCUCCUUCAUUCUCCCUGGCCCUGCCCCAACAGCACCAGGAAUUCAAGAUGGCCCAGUUGUAACCCAACCAUCCCUUUGGGGCUGCACCUCAUGUAGGGUAACUAUAAGAUGCUGCAGCUCAGCACUGUCCCCCAGUGUGUCCCUGUGGCUUCCCCCUUGACCUGCAGCAUGAGCAGCAGUCCUGGGACCCAAGAUUCAAAUUUUCCCCAGAUUAUCCAAAGGAAACUCCAUACAUGCUGGGCAGCUCCAACAGGUGCGGGACCAGUAGAUUUUGCCUACUGUGACCCCAGCCUCUCCCUCUGGCAACAGCCAUGGCCAGCACUGGGCCACUUGAGGCUUCUUUGGAAGCUCUUCAAGUUUAUAUAGAGACGUCUUUGUUUCAUAUUUGCCAGAAGGAACUUGAAUGAACCUGAAAGCAAAGACCAAGUGGAGACAUUGAAACCCGGAGCGGACAAGCCACACACUGCAGUUCACGUGGAGUAUGAAGAUCACAAGCUCCAUGGAGCCCAAUGAGGUGAUGAGAAAAUUUGGCAAGGUGCUUCACACGCACAGCUGUCAGUAUGAACUGAACAAGAAAUGGUGCUGUUGGGGUCGGCCUGCAACCGAGUGGUUAAGUUCACACGCUCUGCUUCGGCUACCCAGGGUUUUGCCAGUUUGGAUCCUGGGCGUGGAUAUGGCACCGCUCAUCAGGCCAUGCUGAGGCAGCAUCCCACAUAGUACAACCACCAGGACCACAACUAGAAUAUUCAACUAUGUACUGCGGGGCUUUUGGGAUAAAAAGAAGAAAGAGAAAAAAAAAAAAGGUUGGCAACAGAUGUUAGCUAAGGUGCCGAUCUGAAAAAAGAAAAAGAAAGAAAUGGUGCUGCUGUGCAUACAGGGCUCCCCAGGGCCAAGGAGAAUUCCUGCAGUGGAAGGUGGAGGUGAGAAAACUCCCCAAAUGGUCUGUCAUUCAUUUAAAUACAUACCCAGCACCUCUGUGGCCCUCAAAAGCAUUGCCUCUAAAAUAACAAAAGAGAUUAAGCUUUAAAAGGUCGCCAAAUUUUUAGGGCAGUGAAACUACUCUGUAUAAUACUAUAAGGGUGGAUACAUGUCACUGAACAUUUGUCAAGACCCAUAGAAUGUACAACACAAGAAUGAAUCUUAUCAUAAACUAGACCUUGGGUG